CGGGAACUGGCUUCCAAUCGGUGUUUAGAUGGCAUUUGAAAUCUUUUCUAGCACCAUUCGAAAUCAGUACCCG
rnacentral:pre_miRNA from 1 species